rnacentral:tRNA from 1 species
UGUCCUGUGGUGUAACGGUAGCACACCGGAUUCUGGUUCCGUUUGUGAGGGUUCGAAUCCUUCCAGGACAA